UAUUUAUCAGGCGGGCUGGAACCCCCCGCUGGGCACUGCUUCACGGCGUGCGCGGCGGGGCCGGCCCUGCUGAAUUAUUCACCCGUGUCUUUUGCGUACUUCUUGUUUCCUGGGUGGGCUCGCCCGCCCUCAGGACCAACCACAAACCUUUUGCAAUAGCAAUCAGCGUCAGUAACAACGUAAUUAAUUACAACUUUCAACAACGGAUCUCUUGGUUCUGGCAUCGAUGAAGAACGCAGCGAAAUGCGAUACGUAGUGUGAAUUGCAGAAUUCAGUGAAUCAUCGAAUCUUUGAACGCACAUUGCGCCCUUUGGUAUUCCAAAGGGCAUGCCUGUUCGAGCGUCAUUUGUACCCUCAAGCUUUGCUUGGUGUUGGGCGUCUUUUGUCUCCAGUUCGCUGGAGACUCGCCUUAAAGUCAUUGGCAGCCGGCCUACUGGUUUCGGAGCGCAGCACAAGUCGCGCUCUUUGCCAGCCAAGGUCAGCGUCCAGCAAGCCUUUUUUUCAACCUUUGACCUCGGAUCAGGUAGGGAUACCCGCUGAACUUAAGCAUAUCAAUAGGCCGGAGGAAAAUCAUUACACAAUAACCAGGCGGGCUGGACACCCCCGCUGGGCACUGCUUCACGGCGUGCGCGGCGGGGCGGCCCUGCUGAAUUAUUCACCGUGUCUUUUGCGUACUUCUUGUUUCUGGGUGGGCUGCGCUCAGGACAACACAAACUUUUUGCAUAGCAUCGCGUCGUACACGUAAUUUAUUACACUUUCACAAGAUCUCUUGGAUCUGGCAUCAUGAAGAAGCAGCAAAAGCAUACUUAUUGUGAAAUUGCAGAAAUUCAUUGAAUCAUCGAAUCUUUUGAACGCCAUUGUGCUUUCGGUUAUUCAAGGAGCAUGCGAUGCAGCAAUUGUACACUGUCGGUUUGUUGGGGGCGUUUGACCUCCGUUCC
rnacentral:rRNA from 1 species